rnacentral:lncRNA from 1 species
GGGAGAACAACUCCAGAGCCUAGAUGAGAACCAAGGCUCUAUUUUGUAGACUGGUGGAAGAAGCAAUUGCAGACCCUAGACGAGGACCAAGGAUUGAUAGUAACAACACCACAAUAUUAGAACUCAAACACUAUUUUAAAAACACACCACAAGAGAGUAGGUUCACAAGAUAGAAUUAGAGCGUCAAGAGAAUAAAAGAAAAAAA